rnacentral:rRNA from 1 species
GACGAACCGUGCGAACGUUGUUCGGAUUCACUGGGCUUAAAGGGCGCGUAGGCGGGUCGGCAAGUCUGGGGUGAAAUCCUCUCGCUCAACGAGAGAAUGGCCCUGGAUACUGCCGGUCUCGAGGGAGGUAGGGGCAUGUGGAACUUCCGGUGGAGCGGUGAAAUGCGUAGAUAUCGGAAGGAACGCCGGUGGCGAAAGCGACGUGCUGGACCUUUUCUGACGCUGAGGCGCGAAAGCCAGGGGAGCAAACGGG